rnacentral:piRNA from 1 species
UAAUUAACUGCUUGUUCAGUGUUGGUUCA